UAGAUGGAUGCUCGCUGGAUAGGGCACUUAGCUGUUAACUAAGAACUUGUAGGAUCGAGGCCUUCCCAUCUAG
rnacentral:tRNA from 1 species